rnacentral:sRNA from 1 species
GAUGGGCACGGUGGUGCAUGCCUGUAAUCCCAGAUGCUUGGGAGGCUGAGGCAGGAGGAUCAUGAGUUCAAAGCCAGCCUCAGCAAAAACGAGACACUAAGGAACUCAGUGAGACCCUGUCUUUA